GGGAUUGCCCCAGUAACGGCGAGUGAAGCGGCAAGAGCUCAAAUUUUGAAUCUGGGGUCGACGACCCCCGAGUUGUAAUUUGGAGAGGCAUCCUCCGGGAGGAGCGCUGGCCCAGGUUCCUUGGAACAGGACGUCACAGAGGGUGAGAAUCCCGUGCCAGGCUGGCUGCCUCCUCCGGCGUGGAGGGCCUUCGACGAGUCGAGUUGUUUGGGAAUGCAGCUCCAAGUGGGUGGUAGAUUUCAUCUAAAGCUAAAUACCGGCGGGAGACCGAUAGCGCACAAGUAGAGUGAUCGAAAGAUGAAAAGCACUUUGAAAAUAGAGUCAAAAAGUACGUGAAAUUGUUGGAAGGGAAGCGCUUGAGGCCAGACUCGGACCCGAGCAAACAUCGAGCCCCUCGGGGCCGUGCAAUUGCUCGGUGCCGGGCCAGCAUCGGUUGGCGUGGCGGGACAAAGGUGCGGGGAAUGUGGCUCCCCUCGGGGUGUGUUAUCAGGCCCGCGCCCCAUGCCGUCGACGCCGACCGUGGACCGCGCCCUACGGGCUAGGAUGCUGGCUUAAUGGCCUUCAGCGACCCGUCUUGAAACACGGACCAAGGAGUCUAACAUCUAUGCGAGUGUUUGGGCGUCAAACCCUUGCGCGUAAUGAAAGUGAGCGGAGGUGGGAACCCCUCACCGGGCGCACCAUCGACCGAUCCUGAUGUCU
rnacentral:rRNA from 1 species